GCUGGUGGCUUGGGCUGAGGCUGGACCAGCUACUUCUGCCGGCUUGGCUUCUUAGGGUGGGUGACUCAGGGAGUUGGGUUAACCCCCUGUUCCACACAUACCCUCCGCUCCCUUUGACACGAGAAUCCUGGUCUCCAGGAUAUUGCCUCAUGGGACAGGGUUUGGAGGUACAUAACCUCAGAAGGAGUAGCCAUCACUUAGGGUGGCCUCGUAAGGAGCCCUCGACGUUUACCAUCAGUGCACGGUCACCGGUAAGGGUCGGUGCUACACUCUGCUUGAGCCUAGGACGUUUGCCAAGUUUGCUGUGAGCUCUGCGUUCCCUGUCCGGUUUACAGACCGAGCGUUGAAAAGUUCCGUGACUCGUUUAAGGUCACGGGUUUGGUUGAAUGGCGGAGACGAAGAUGCACCCUCCCGGGCUCCUCUGAUCCUGCAGCCUCCCUGUCAACGCCCCUAGGCCGCAGAGAGCAGCUGCAGUCAUUCAACCGCGGCGCUUUGCGAGGCACAGAGGAACUGCCUCACUGAGCUAAGCCCAAUAGUCUCCCCUAUAACCCCUGAGAAUUAAACGUUUAGAUUUACGCAAUGAUUUCUGCAGCAGGCAGUUGGGAGCAGCCAGAGAACCCAGUAAGGGAAGAAUCUCACACCCACUAUGGCUUGGCUAAUUUGGGGUUAAUAGCACCAUAGUGUUUCUUUGAAAGUAAAAGAGGCUGAAUUUGCUAUUAGUUUACAAUGAGCGUUUUCUAACGAUCUAAUCACCUUGCAGGCGAGAGUCUGUUUUCCUGGAAUGAGCUGGGAAGGACCUAGUAAGUAGUUGGGAACUUUUUCAAAUUCCCCAGUGAGGGUGUGGCUUCUGGGACGGUCAUGGGGUGCAGUAUAGGAUCUAGGAGCUGAGAGCAGCCUUGAACACCUGCCUUUGCUAUUUUAACCACCACCCUAGGCCCACCAGGUAAGAAUGGCAAAGGGGUAACUAAGGGUAGGGAUAGAGUCUAAGAGGUUCAGCUGUGAAUAAAGGAGGACACUAGACACACCUGAGUGGAGUGCCCGAGGUAGGAACCACGACCUGACCACUUUUUUCUUUCAACAUUUUGCCCAGUUCCUGUGGUAUGUCAGGAACUUAUAUACUGCUACUGGGGACCCAUUUCUUAUUCCAGUCAUAAGUCAAGACCUUAGUGCCAGGACCAGGAGAGAAAUGUGUCCCCACAUGGCCUUCCAUUCCAAAGACCUGAAAUAAAAUUGCUCCAAGGAGUAUAUUUUCAAAACCAACAUAGCUGGUUUCCCUCAACCUGCAUCUCAGCUCACACACUGUUUGGGGUGAGGAGGAGCCAUGCUGUGUUGAGUUUUGAUCACUUGAAUCUCAUGAAGUUCCACAACUGAAAGGUUCUCCUUGUCCCAGUGGAGGAGAGAGAUGUCCUUUCCACGGCAACUGACACCCACUCACACCCUCCUGAACCUCACUUUUCCACUUAGAUCAUAAAAUACAUACUCAACUAAAACAACAAAUUGCUCUUAGAGAUUGAAGGCCACCCAGAGACUGUCCCACCUGGAGAUCCAUCCCAUCUGCAGACACCAAACCCAGACACUACUGCUGAUGCCGAGAAGUGCUUGCUGACAGCCUGAUACAGUUAUUUUCUGAGAGGCUCUACCAGAUCCUGACCAAUACAGAUGCUGAUGCUCAAAGCCAACCAUUGGACUGAUCACAGGGACCCCAAUAGAGGAGUUAGGGGAAGGACGAAGGAGCGAAAGGGGCCUUAUCUGGCAUCAAUGGGAGGGGUGGCUUGGGUCCUAUGAAGGCUUGAUGUUCCAGUGUAGAGGAAUGCUAAGGCAGUGAGGUGGGAGUGGAAGGGUAGGUGAGUGGGAGGAGCACCCUCAUAGAAGCAGGGGUAGGGGGGUAUGAUAGGGGGUUUACACAGGGGAAACUGGGAAAGGGGAUAAUCUUUGAAAUGUAAAUAAAUAAAAUAUCCAAUUAAAA
rnacentral:lncRNA from 1 species